rnacentral:rRNA from 1 species
UACGUAGGGUGCGAGCGUUGUCCGGAAUUAUUGGGCGUAAAGAGCUCGUAGGCGGUGUGUCGCGUCGGUCGUGAAAACCUGCAGCUUAACUGUGGGCUUGCGGUCGAUACGGGCAUCACUGGAGUUCGGCAGGGGAGACUGGAAUUCCUGGUGUAGCGGUGAAAUGCGCAGAUAUCAAGGAGGGAACACCGGUGGGCGAAGGCG